GAAAGUGAAGUGUUGCACCAUUGUAGAGUAACCAUAGCAAUGACCUACUAUUACAGACUAAAGAAUUAUCAUUAACAAUGUUUAAGUAUCAAACAGAGGCCCAGGAUCCAAAGACUGCCAGGCAGCAUCUCUGCAUAAUUGGGUUACCCAGGAAGAGGUACAGAACGCCAUGAACUAACUUCUUGGAAGAGUUUUCCAUCUGUUUUCAAGUUCUUCGGUGAGGCUGUAAAGGCGAAGAACAGCUUGGUGAAACCAACCCCAACACGGCGCUCCAACAGGAUAAAAUAUGAAGAAUUCUAAAGGAAGGGAGGAAAAAACCCACCACCACCAAUGUCUUUGCUGCUUGUUUUCUGCAAGGAAUCUCCCAGCCCUUCAUUAGAUUGUUUUCUUCCUAGAGCACAGGGUCGUGAUGUAUACAUCUAAAUAGCGUUUUGCAUUAUUUCUAGAUGAGUGCAACUGUCAAAGCAAUAUGGGUUCACUGGUUGUGCUUCCUGUGGGCUGUAACUUGGAUUUUGUGCUGCCCAUCAGUGUGCAGAUUAAGGCUGACAGUGGUACUGCACAGUGCAGCAUGGUGCAGCUCUAAUUGCCCUGACAUAGCCCUGCACCAAGCUGAUGCCAGAAUUUAACAGCUUCAUCACAGUCCUAUCGCCUGCAGGAUUUUUUGCAGCUUCCUUCUAUUUCGAGACAGAACAGAAUAUGAAUUACUCUUAUUUAAAAGACGGCCCUAACUCAAACAUGUUAACCAGCCUAUGAUUUUACACCUAGUAGCCUUCUCUUUCUCUGGGACCAAGUGGAAUUUACUUCUAACUCUCUCAUUUUUCUGCUGGCAAGAGUGUUCAAGAAGUUUGCCCAGAAUUCUAGAAAGGCUUCAUUGUUGAAGAGAUUUUCUCUUGAUCAAUGGUAUUAUCUGUAGAUCUUCUCUUCCUUUGGAAAGCUCUACUUAAAAGAAAUGCCUAUUCAUUAGCAGGCUGGAUCACACUGUGAAAUAUGACAGAAAAAAAAAAAAGGAAAAAAAAAGAGACAUACUGCAUAUUUUUCUGUUUAUUUUUAAACACAAAAAUGCUUCCAUUUUCAUAUGCUAGGUUUUUAAUGACUUGCUGGCCCAUGGUUAUUCCCUUUUCCCUAAACUCGCAGGUUCCUCCCCACUUUCCCAGUCUCUCGGACAAAGGUUGACCAGCAGGGCACCCUGUGUGGGAAUUUCACACUCUGCAUAGGGGGUAUGUGGUUUUAGCUGUAACUGUUGCGUUAGGUAGGUUUUCUCCACUAAAACCAAGGGAAAAGAUGUGCUUGAUAGCAUGCCUAGUGAUCAAGCACUGUAAUUAAGCUCAUUUGGUGUUCAUAAUACUAAAUUAAAAUGGCCCUUUCUUUAAUGGUCGUGCCCACCAGCAAGAAGGUGUCACUCAAACAUGAGUUUUGGACCCAGUCCCGCCCUCUCCUCAUGCUGUGUGUCCAGUCCUACAGCUGGGAGCCUGAAACGGUGGUGGGGAGCAUUGAAACAAAACAAUGUCAAAGCAGGGGUACCCUCCUAUGCCACAGAGCAAAAGCAGAAGCGCUCAUAGUGAGGUGCAGAGGGAAACCCAGCUGGAUUAGGGCCUAAAUCCUUCUGGUGAGAGGCUUCUCAGCACCCAUGGAGUGCUUACAUCCCUCCCUGCUCAUAAUGGAAGCAGGGCUUCACGUCCCCAAGUCCUGCUUCCGGCCAUCCCGCUGCAUUUAAGCUCUGCUCUUGCAGGGGGCUGCCUGCAGCAAACCUCUGGGGGGCUGGAGGAGGUGUCAGGCCGUGCCCAUGUGGAAGGAAGUGUGGUAUCUGUGGCUGGCAGAUUUUCUUCCUGGAGGGGAUCCUAUUGCUGAGGGGAGAGGGCUACACAUGGCUUCCUCUGGCCUCCAGUCUCUGCACUUGCUCCCAGGAUGCUGCUGCCUGUGGCCAGCCUGAUCCCCUGCCGUGGGGGUCUGCUGCCCCCCUCCCCAGGUCCGUGUCCACCCUGGCCCCCUGGACCCUGUGUGUUUAGGGGUAAGGCAAAAGAGUUUACGUGGUGUGGUUUGGGUGUCUGUGCUUCAUCCCGCAGACGGGGAAGAUGCAGUGGCCAGGGAAGUUUGCACACACACACACGCCAGACCUGCCACUCCAUCUCUCUGGAGGCGAGAUGGGUUCCCAAAUACUGGAGGAGCAGAUCUAUUUUUGUAACUGUUGAUGAGAAACAAACUACAAACAUUUUUACUGUAACACUUAUCAUUUUCUAAAGAAUUUUUCUUUACCGUGCCCUGGGCCCAGCUCACAUUAUCACUCCUGUGGGGGGCUGUAGAGCAGAGGGGAUCCUCACCACUGAUACUGCUCUGCUUGCAGUGAACAAAAAAUAAAUAUGCUAUCUUCUCUCCUUCUUGCA